rnacentral:lncRNA from 1 species
CACCUCUCAAUUCAGCCCCUGGAAUAGAAAUAUCAAAAUGUUGGAUCUUGCCAGCCACCAAAAGCUUGGAGCUGGGUCUUCUAAUCACAAAUCCAUCCAUCCAUGACUAACAAGCUUCCAAAUCUAAGCACUGUCCAUCCAUCCAUCUACAUGGGACCUCCUUCAAUUGCUUAUAAAGAUCUUUAGCUUUCACUGUAGAAGAACAAGAUAUUCCCUACAACCUCCCAUCUAGCAUGUCAUAAUAAGAAAUAGCCAUUGGUAAAAUCUUAUUUGCCA